GACGAACGCUGGCGGCGUGCUUAACACAUGCAAGUCGAACGGAAAGGCCCCUUCGGGGGUACUCGAGUGGCGAACGGGUGGGUAACACGUGAGUAACCUGCCCUUGACUUCGGGAUAACUUCAGGAAACUGGGGCUAAUACCGGAUAGGAAUCCUUGCUGCAUGGUGGGGGUUGGAAAGCUUCGGCGGUUUUGGAUGGACUCGCGGCUUAUCAGCUUGUUGGUGGGGUAGUGGCUUACCAAGGCUUUGACGGGUAGCCGGCCUGAGAGGGCGACCGGCCACAUUGGGACUGAGAUACGGCCCAGACUCCUACGGGAGGCAGCAGUGGGGAAUAUUGCACAAUGGGCGGAAGCCUGAUGCAGCAACGCCGCGUGCGGGAUGACGGCCUUCGGGUUGUAAACCGCUUUCAGCAGGGGCGAAGCUUGUGGUGACGGUACCUGCAGAAGAAGCACCGGCUAACUACGUG
rnacentral:rRNA from 1 species